UGGGGGAUAUUGCAAAAUGGGCGAAAGCCUGAUGCAGCAACGCCGCGUGAGGGAAGACGGUUUUCGGAUUGUAAACCUCUGUCUUCGGUGAAGAAAAAAAUGACGGUAGCCGAGGAGGAAGCCACGGCUAACUACGUGCCAGCAGCCGCGGUAAUACGUAGGUGGCGAGCGUUGUCCGGAAUUACUGGAUGUAAAGGGAGCGCAGGCGGUGAGACAAGUCAGCUGUGAAAACUAUGGGCUUAACCCAUAAACUGCAGUUGAAACUGUUUUUCUUGAGUGGAGUAGAGGUAGGCGGAAUUCCGAGUGUAGCUGUGAAAUGCGUAGAUAUUCGUAGGAACACCAGUGGCGAAGGCGGCCUACUGGGCUCUAACUGACGCUGAUGCUCGAAAGUGUGGGGAGCAAACA
rnacentral:rRNA from 1 species